rnacentral:piRNA from 1 species
UGAGUCUUGAACGUACCUAGGUGAUAAA